rnacentral:tRNA from 2 species
GGGUUAUUAGCUCAGCUGGGAGAGCACCUCCCUUACAAGGAGGGGGUCGGCGGUUCGAUCCCGUCAUCACCCACCA